rnacentral:rRNA from 1 species
UGGGGAAUCUUGCACAAUGGGGGCAACCCUGAUGCAGCGACGCCGCGUGAGCGAUGAAGCCCUUCGGGGCGUAAAGCUCUUUCGACCGGAACGAUAAUGACGGUACCGGGAGAAGAAGCUGCGGCUAACUACGUGCCAGCAGCCGCGGUAAUACGUAGGCAGCAAGCGUUGUUCGGAGUUACUGGGCGUAAAGAAUGCGUAGGCGGUUUUCUAAGUUCGGUGUGAAAUCUCCCGGCUUAACUGGGAGGGUGCGCCGAAGACUGGGAUGCGGGAGUGUGGGAAAGGCAGGCGGAAUUCCUGGCGUAGCGGUGAAAUGCGUAGAGAUCAGGAGGAACACCGGCGGUGUAGACGGCUUGCUAGACCAUAACUGACGCUGAGGCACGAAAGCGUGGGUAGCAAACA